rnacentral:tRNA from 1 species
GAAGGUAUAGCUGAGGGGCAGAGCACUCGGUUAGCAUGCAUGAGGUCCUGGGUUCAAUCCCCAGUACCUCCG